GCCUACAGCCAGACCGCCCUGAGAGCGCCCGAUCCCGACUGAUCUCGGAAGCUAAGCAGGGUCGGGCCCGGUCAGUACUUGGAUGGGAGACCGCCGGCGAACACCGGGUGCUGU
ensembl:rRNA 5S_rRNA 5S ribosomal RNA